GGNUNAGNNGGNGGACGGGNGAGUAANGNCUUNGNAUUCNNCCUGGUAGUGGGGGNCAACGGUUUNGAAANGAAACNNUUANNNNGCCAUNNGUCNNACGGGNGAAAGCCAGGGGGACCUUUCGGGCCNUNNGCUNUUCAGAUGAGCNUAGGUCGGAUUAGCUAGUUGGUGAGGUAAUGGCUCACCAAGGCGACGAUCCGUAACUGGUUUGAGAGGAUGAUCAGUCACACUGGAACUGAGACACGGUCCAGACUCCUACGGGAGGCAGCAGUGGGGAAUAUUGGACAAUGGGCGAAAGCCUGAUCCAGCCAUGCCGCGUGUGUGAAGAAGGUCUUCGGAUUGUAAAGCACUUUAAGUUGGGAGGAAGGGUUGUAGAUUAAUACUCUGCAAUUUUGACGUUACCGACAGAAUAAGCACCGGCUAACUCUGUGCCAGCAGCCGCGGUAAUACAGAGGGUGCAAGCGUUAAUCGGAAUUACUGGGCGUAAAGCGCGCGUAGGUGGUUUGUUAAGUUGGAUGUGAAAUCCCCGGGCUCAACCUGGGAACUGCAUCCAAAACUGGCAAGCUAGAGUAUGGUAGAGGGUGGUGGAAUUUCCUGUGUAGCGGUGAAAUGCGUAGAUAUA
rnacentral:rRNA from 1 species